UAACCUGCCCAAGAGAUCGGGAUAACACCUGGAAACAGAUGCUAAUACCGGAUAACAACAGAUGAUGCCUAUCAACUGUUUAAAAGAUGGUUCUGCUAUCACUCUUGGAUGGACCUGCGGUGCAUUAGCUAGUUGGUAGGGUAACGGCCUACCAAGGCGAUGAUGCAUAGCCGAGUUGAGAGACUGAUCGGCCACAUUGGGACUGAGACACGGCCAAACUCCUACGGGAGGCAGCAGCC
rnacentral:rRNA from 1 species